CCUUUGUCUGCUGGUUUUAUUACCUUACUUUGAUCCUUUUGGAGUUUUUUAAGGGCUAGCCAUUCUACUUUAUUUAAAUUCAUCUGUUUUUUAUUUGUUUUGAUUUUAUUUAUAUCUUGCAUGACUGACUUCUCAAAGGAAAUCAUUUCAUCGGAGAUGAAAUUAUUGGGAAAAAAAGUAGACUUAUCCUUUAAUUCAGUAUGAACAUA